AAUGAACGUUGGCGGCGUGGAUUAGGCAUGCAAGUCGAGCGAGAUCUGUAGCAAUACAGUGAAAGCGGCGAAAGGGAGAGUAAUACGUAGGUACCUGCCCUCGGGUCUGGGAUAGCUGCGGGAAACUGCAAUUAAUACCAGAUGACGUCUGAGGACCAAAGGUGUGAUUCCGCCAGGGGAUGGGCCUGCGUCCUAUCAGCUAGUUGGUGUGGUAAAGGCGCACCAAGGCAAAGACGGGUACGGGGUGUGAGAGCAUGCCCCCGCUCACUGGGACUGAGACACUGCCCAGACACCUACGGGUGGCUGCAGUCGAGAAUCUUCCGCAAUGGGCGAAAGCCUGACGGAGCGACGCCGCGUGUGGGAUGAAGGCCUUCGGGUUGUAAACCACUGUCAGUGGGGAGCAAAUGGCUAGGGGUUCUCCCCUAGUCUUGAGCGAUCCGCAGAGGAAGCACAGGCUAAUUCCGUGCCAGCCGCCGCAGUAAAAC
rnacentral:rRNA from 1 species